GUGGGGAAUCUUCCGCAAUGGACGAAAGUCUGACGGAGCAACGCCGCGUGAGUGAUGAAGGUCUUCGGAUUGUAAAGCUCUGUUAAUCGGGACGAAAGAGCCUAGUGUGAAUAAUGCUAGGAAGUGACGGUACCGGAAUAGAAAGCCACGGCUAACUACGUGCCAGCAGCCGCGGUAAUACGUAGGUGGCAAGCGUUGUCCGGAAUUAUUGGGCGUAAAGCGCGCGCAGGCGGAUCUGCCAGUCUGUCUUAAAAGUUCGGGGCUUAACCCCGUGAUGGGAUGUAAACUACAGAUCUAGAGUAUCGGAGAGGAAAGUGGAAUUCCUAGUGUAGCGGUGAAAUGCGUAGAUAUUAGGAAGAACACCAGUGGCGAAGGCGACUUUCUGGACGAAAACUGACGCUGAGGCGCGAAAGCCAGGGGAGCGAACGGGAUUAGAUACCCCAGUAGUCC
rnacentral:rRNA from 1 species